ensembl:lncRNA
ACUUGGGUCCCCGCCGCUCGGCGCGGGAGGCCGUGGGGGAAUCCGCCCGCGGGGGCGUGGACGGCGGUUGCAGCCCGGGACCGCUAGAUCCGCUGGGCGGAGGCGGGGGUGCGCCCCGGCGGCGUCUGCUACGCAAUGUGCGCCUGGCUCAGUCAGUCUUUGGAAUCAUUAUCAUCCCACUUUACAGAUGAGGAAGGGGGCUGAGGCUCGGAAAAGCGAACUCAGGCGCAAAACUCAAGCUGAAAUAAUCUAAUCCAGUGCUCUUAACACGGUUCUCACCAUCAAUUUGCCCUUUUGGAUCAGGCACAAAACCGAGUAUCAGCUCCAGUAAGGCCUUUAAAGUUUACUUGGAAAGCUCCUUCCCGCCUCAGGGCCUUUGUACUCAAUGUUCCCUCCAUCUGGAUCCUUCUGCCUCCUGGACUUCCUAGGGCUGGCGUCUUAUCAUGCAUCUCCAGAGUGAUCCUUCCUGCACAAGUUGCCCUACUUAAUGCCCUUCCUACCAGCCAGCACAAAGGAGCCAGAUGGCCUGGGUUUGAAUCUCGGCUCUGCUGCUUAUUAGCUGGGUGGCAUUGGGCAAGUUACUUAACCUUUCUGUGCCAGUUUCCUCAGCUAUAAAUGGGGCUGAUAACAAUAGUGCCUAGCUCAUAGAGUUGUAGUAAGGAUGAUACUUUCUAAAAAUGUGUUGCCCGUGUUAGAUGCUUUAUAAAAAUGUGCUGUUAUUCACAGAGCACUCAUCCCAUUCUGAAAUUAUCCCUAUUACUGAUUUACUUGUUACCCCAAUUAGAAUGUGAGCUCUGGACUUCCCCGGUGGUCCAGUAGGUGGGAGUCUGCCUGCCAAUGCAGGAGACACAGGUUUGAUCCCAGGUCCAGGAAGAUUCCAGAUGCCGCAGGUCGUGUGCGCCACAACUACUGAGCCCUUGCGCCCUAAAGCCUGAGCUCUGCAACAGCAGAAGCCACUGCAAUGAGAAGCCCACGCACCUCAACUAGAGAGUAGCCUCGUUCGCCACAACCAGAGAAAGCCGGCCUGCAGCAACGUGAAGAUCCCACCCAACCAAAA